rnacentral:rRNA from 1 species
AUGGCAGCACAAGCAAUGGUGACCGCAUCCACAGGGGCGAUGAACUCUGUCCUCUCAAAGCUCGCCACCCUGCUGGAGGAUGAGUGCAACCCGCACACGAGGAACAGGAUCAUUGCCCUAAGGUGUGCGCUGACCAGCAUGAGAAGCUUCCUUGAGAGGAGGGCGGCGGCUAGCAUGAAGGAUAUGGAUCCAUUGGUCGAGGGGUGGAUGAAGCAGGUCCGGGACAUGACCUAUGAUUUGGAGGAUUGCAUCGACGAUUUUGUGUGCUCAGAUGCCCCAGGUAACACCAACAGUGUAGCUCAGCUGAUCAAGGUGGUAACAUGGAGGCGUCAGUACACCAGCCUGCUGCAAGAACUCAAGGAACAAGUCUCUGGGGCAUCUGAGAGGCGCUGGAGGUACGGGGUCGUCUGCGAUCCUGGGGAUCCGUUGCCCAUACCUUCUGUUGUAACCAAUGGUCUUCUACCCGUCUUCAGUGCUCAUGUGGGGUGUGGACUUGUCGGUAUAGAAGGCUCGAGGGACCGACUGAUCAAGUUGCUAGAUCCAGAUGACAAGAAACAGCUGAAGAUGGUGUCAAUUGUUGGAUCCAGAGGUAUCGGCAAGACUACGCUUGCCAUGGAUGUGUAUCAAAGCCUCAAAGAGAGAUUUAAUUGCCAUACCAUCGUCUCAGUGUCCAGCGGUGAUGAUCUGAGGAUUAUUCUUACAAGUAUACUAUCUCAAGUCGGCGUGCAGGAACAUGACUUCAGAGAAUGCGAUGAGGAACAGCUCAUCCAUAAACUAAGUGAACUCCUCAAGACUAGGAGGUAUUUCAUUGUUAUUGAAGAUAUAUGGGACGUAUCUGCAUGGAAAAUAAUCAGAUGGGCUUUCCCUGAUAAUGGCUGUGGCAGUAGAAUAUUGGUCACAACGUGCAUCAGUUCCAUAGCCAGCCCAAGCUGCUAUUUUGGCAAAGACGAUAUAUUUAAAAUGGUACCUCUUAGUGACACUGAGGCCAGAAAGUUAUUUUUCAUGCGAAUAUUUCACCCUGAAGAUUGCUGUCCUCUUCAUUUGAAAGAAAAUUCUUUUGAUAUCUUGAAGAAAUGUGGUGGUAUACCACUAGCAAUCAUUACUGUAGCUAGCUUGUUAGCUACGAAAUCAGAUGAAAAUGAGUGGAAGAGAGUUCGAGAUGCUAUUGGCUCCGUAUUUGGUAAAAGUGCUACUCCAGAAGGGAUGAAGCAGAUACUACAUGUUGCAUAUUUUGAUCUCCCCGUCCAUUUAAGAACAUGCUUGUUAUAUCUGUCGAUCUUUCCAAAAGGUUAUGUUAUUAAUAAGGCACAGCUGAUACGGAGAUGGAUGGGUGAAGGGUUUAUUAUUGAAGAGCAUGUAAAGAGUUCAGAGGAAGUAGGAGAGUGUUAUUUCAGUGAGCUUGUUAACAGGGGUCUUAUCCAACCAGUUUGCAUCCGAUAUGAUGGUCGAAUAGAAUCUUGCCAAGUUCAGAACAUGAUUUGGGAUUUCAUUUUGUCUAAAUCUUCUGAAGAGAAUUUUGUAACCAGAUAUGAUGAUCGUCAUGGCAUUUUUGGACUACAAGAUAGGAUUCGCCGCCUAUCCCUUUAUUGUGGUCGUCAUGAAAAAGAUAGCUUUAUCCUAUCUGCAAUAACUGCUUCUCAUAUUCGAUCGCUCACCAUUGUUGUGACUGAUAAAGAGAUGCCUACUCUUGCAAACUUUCAAGCACUUCGAGUUCUUGAUGUUGAAAGUAGUGGGGAGUUGGAAGAUGACAAUUAUCUUCAAAAAAUAGGGAAACCACGCCUGUUAAAGUAUCUACGGCUUCAAACAAAAAGGUUCACUGAGCUGCCAGAACAAGUAGCAGAACUGCAGUUCCUCCAGACACUGGAUCUUACUAGUGCUCUGAUAAGCAGACUGCCCCACAGUAUUGUUCGACUGAAGCAGCUGAUUUAUUUACUUGUUAAAAAUAUAAAAUUGCCAGAUGAAAUUGGAGAAUUGCAGGUUCUGCAGGAGCUCUCCCAUGUUGAAGUUGAGAGCAGUAACUCGCCAAAUUCUUUGGAGGAGCUGGGCCGUUUGAGUAGGUUGAGGGUUCUCGGGCUAAAUUGGUGCAUUAGUGACACAGAUAGUUCUAUGGAAAUUUGUGCCGAUAGCUUGAUCUCCUCACUUGACAAACUCGGCAGUUCCAACCUCCAAUCUCUUCAUAUUGGCACUGGUUCAGGGUGUUCCCUGGAUUUUUUGUUGGAUUCCUUGUCUGCUCCUUUUAACCACCUCCAUGAGUUUCGGAUGACCUCUGAUUACUAUUUUCCAAAAAUACCGGGAUGGAUGACCACACUUGUUAGCCUCAGAGUUCUGGAGAUCAACAUUGAUACAGUGGGAGAGGAAGCACUUAAGAUCCUUGGGAAAUUGCCUUCUCUGCUAGUUCUCUUGCUGUCGGUGAAAUCUUUAGCUCAGAAUCAAGGACUCACCAUCACAAGCUGUGGAUUCCGAUGUCUAAAGCAAUUUGACUUCAUUUGUUCGAAUGUUUUGGACAUGGUGAUGUUUGAACAAGGGAGUAUGCUUGCACUGGAAAAUCUCCACCUCAAGUUUCGAGUAAAAGGAGUGUUUGUGAAUUAUGGUUUUCAGUUUGACAUUGAGCAUAUUGCUGCCCUCAGAUAUCUCCGUGUAGAUAUUGCCUGCGAGGACGCAGAGGCUAGGGAGAUGGAAGUUGUAGAGGAUGCUAUUAGGAGUGCAACCAGCACUCAUCCUGGUCAUCCUAGACUUGAACUCCGGAGGUUGGGGGAAGAGGAUGUGAUGCAUGGUGAAGGGACAGAUGUGGAGUCUGAAGAAAUGAUGGAAGAGGAUCACACUUCUCCGGCUGGAGCUGCCUACUACAAUUAUAACACUUUCAGGUCAUAUAUGUUACAUUUUUGGCACUUCCCUGAGUUGAUAGUUCGGUGGAUCAAAACACAAACAAGAGUGACGAGGUUGCCAUCGACGGUGAGCAUGGACAAGCCGCCGCAGCGGUCGCCUCCGACAGAGGAAGCCACCUGCUCCGAGGUGGAUGCCGAGGCGGAGAAAUUCAUCCAGAGAUUCCGCGAGCAACUGCAGCAGCAGCGCCUCGAAUCCAUCUUCAAGUACACCCAUAAGCUCAAGCGCCGCGACGGGGGCACCCGGUAG